GACGAACGCUGGCGGCGUGCUUAACACAUGCAAGUCGAACGGAAAGGCCCUGCUUUUGUGGGGUGCUCGAGUGGCGAACGGGUGAGUAACACGUGAGUAACCUGCCCUUGACUUUGGGAUAACUUCAGGAAACUGGGGCUAAUACCGGAUAGGAGCUCCUGCUGCAUGGUGGGGGUUGGAAAGUUUCGGCGGUUGGGGAUGGACUCGCGGCUUAUCAGCUUGUUGGUGGGGUAGUGGCUUACCAAGGCUUUGACGGGUAGCCGGCCUGGGAGGGUGACCGGCCACAUUGGGACUGGGAGACGGCCCAGACUCCUACGGGAGGCAGCAGUGGGGAAUAUUGCACAAUGGGCGGAAGCCUGAUGCAGCAACGCCGGGUGCGGGAUGACGGCCUUCGGGUGGUAAACCGCUUUCGCCUGUGACGAAGCGUGAGUGACGGUAAUGGGUAAAGAAGCACCGGCUAACUACGU
rnacentral:rRNA from 1 species